CAGGUCGGGAGCUGCUACAGUCAAUUUCAAGUGGGGUGGGGUGGGGUGAGGUCAGGUGGGUGGGAGGGAGUGGGGGGUCGGCAGGCCUGUUUCUAGGAUUUUGGGGUCCCUAGGCAACGGGAUUGUUGGGGGCCCUAGGGCAUUUUUUGGCCUUUUACUAAAAUGUGUGUGUGUGUGUGUCUGUGUGUAUGUUUGUUCACGCUGCCCAGUGGUGUUUUUCAGAAUCACUAACCAUUAAACCAGGGGUAGUGAACCUAUGUCUCGAGGGCCCUUGAGGCCGUUUUAUCCGGCCCCUGAUAUCAUUAUAAUGUUUUGCAACUUCACAUGAAAUAGGCCUAUGACAUAUUUUGCAGGCCUAAAGGAAUCUUAGAAAUUACAUUUCCAAUGCAAUUAAGUUAGGCCUAUAUUCAGGGGACCUAGAAAAGGUGGGGACUGUUUUAAAUGUGUCUACCUUUAAAGGUGUCUAUAUGUCUAUAUAGGCCUAAUGGUGUCUAUAUAUGCCUAAAUUUCAUGGGGAAAUCCUGAUUUGUGUUCAUAGUACGGCCCCCGGAGGAUUUUAUGACCAUGGUAGGAAUUUGAAGUGGCCCUUCGAAUGAAAAAGGUUCCCCACCCCUGCAUUAAACCUUUCUUCUAGCCACAGCUCUGCUGUCAGUACAUUUUAUUAUGAUACUAUAAGCUCAGAAAUGAAGUUGAUCAAACAAUUCGGUGCUAACAUUUAAAUGAACCGAAUAGAAAUCAGAAUAGAAACAUCUGAAUGAUCUUUCUUGGACAUAGCCUACAUUUUGAAGUGACCCUUUGAAUUAAAAAGGUUCCUCACCCCUGCUUUUGAGGAAAAACAUCAAUGUGCUUGGCCACUCUGGUUUUUAAAUUAUUCUGAACUAGCAAGGAUUGUUCAAGGAAGUUCAAAACAGACUGUCUCUGGUUAAAUUAGUUCUACACCAAGCCUUUAGGUGGCAGUACAACUAAUUCGCACAAUGCAAAUUCCACACACAAGCCACAAAGAAGCCAUCUACCGCGGUCAACAACACCGACCUAUCUGAACAACACCACGCGCUGUCUGUGUGGUUUCACUGUUACAAGUUUCUUGGCGAUAUGGGGGAAAGUUCCUCACAUACCAACGGAAAAUGGGCUUCACAUACAUGUAAGUAAAUUUUACUCAACUGUGGUUUAAAGUUUCAGUACUCAAGAGCGAUUGAAUAGCUCCUCUGAACACAGAUCCGCCAUUGCUAAGUUGUAGCACAAGUCCCCUCAAUGAAUGUGACUACUCUUGUUGCUGCUGUACGCUAGUAAAUUCUGACAACUUGCGAGCAUCGUAAUGACAAAAUGCAGUAGUGAAACGGUGAAUAUGUUAAGUAUACUUGUUGAUGGAAAGUUGUUUGACAUUGCUCGUUCUCAAUUGCCUUUCCCCUGCCUAAAGAUGAUUCCCAGUUUGUCGCUCCCAGCGCGGUUCGAUCCCCAGUCGGUUCGCUCCCACUAGCCAGACUAUCGAGCCCACCGAGCUAGUUAUCUUUUUGAUGUUAGUUUUUUUUGUUACGUACCCUAAACCUAACCCUUACCUUAACCCUAAACCUAACCCUGAAUUGCUUGUAUGUGGUAGUGUAUGAUAAUACGAGAAAUGUAAUCGGGUGGGAUAGAACGCCUGGGAUUGAUAGAAUCACCUGGGACUACACGUCCGGGAGUGAUCUUACAUGGGAGUGACCAUCUCCCAGCGCUUAAGAUUGACAAAGGCUACGUUAGCAUGCUAUUGCGUUAGCUCAUCAACUAGUUGCUGGGCACUGCUCAUUUUUCACGUCUGCCCGGCAUUUCGCUGAUGAACUAACGCUUGGACGUCUUGCCAAUGUAUUUUACAGCGGCAAAAAUGCAUCUAGGCGACGUUGGCAAGAUUGGUGUGCCGUCUGGGUAUGUUGGUUUUCAGUGCUGGGCAGUAGCGAAGCGACUAGUUUAAUUACAUUCCCUAGUAGCUUGGUCGUAGCGUCAUUACUCGACUAACGUCCCUGUAGUUAGGAAAGAAAUAGUUUGGAAAUCAAUGUGAAAUACCCUGGCAUUUGCAACAGUAGGCAACCUGUCCUUAAAAAGUAUGGGUCCUCAAAACACCACUUGUUGCACAAAUAAGUGUUGCAAUAGAGCACGCCACCCCGAAAUCAAUGUGAAAUACCCUGGCAUUUGCAACAGUAGGCAGGCAGCAUGUCCUUAAAACGUAUGGGUCCUCAAAACAGCACUUGUUGCACAAAUAAGUGUAGCUGGCCUCUUCAAGAAAUUGAAAUUAUGCAUGGUCACUUUUUCUUAUUGUUUCACGUGGAGGUCUACUGACAUUGUAUAAAUAAUGUAGGCUAGUUUAUGUCCAUGUAUUAUAUUAGGACCCAAGGUUAAUGGGUUAUUCUGUUUACCAUGUUUUCACAGGCUGCUGUCUCAUAAUAUGGCGAAGACGAGUCACUUGAAGGCCUAACAGCUCUUAUGAGGAGCAGUCUUGCCAUAGAAGACUGAAAGAAUGUAAGAUUAACUUCUUUGUGACCAAUAUGACUUGCUCAUUGAUACAUUAGCUAUGUCAAUAUGAGAUGCAUGGCGAAGUAUUUAAUUUAUUUGUCUCUCUUCUAGGAGCUGUAGAAACAACAGGGUGCCUGCUGCAGUAUGACGAGGACGCCCUGAUCAUAGAAGGUCCAGUGUCUUGGCAGGGUGAAAUGGCACUGAUAUCGUGUCCUGCAGGAUGCUGUGUCCUGCAAUCCUGUGUGCUGUGCUACAGACGCGUGUGGAGGUCAACCCGAAAUGGGCACAGUAGAGUGAAAGAGGGUAAGCUUAACCUAUAGCCUACGUCAGGGUUGGGGAACCUUUCUCAUUCGAAUGGCCACUUCAAAUUCAUCCGAGGGGCCAUAAAAGUCCUCCAAGGGCCGUACUAUGAACACAAACCAGGAUUUUCCCUUUCACUUUAGGCCUAUAUUGAAGGCAGCCACAUUUAAACAAACGCCAACUUCAGGUUCCCUGAAUAUAACUUAAUUGUAUUGCUAAUGUAUUUUCUAAGAUUCCUUUACAAAAUAUGUCAUAUUUCAUGUGAAGAUGGAAUUGCAUUAAAAUUAUAUCGGGGGCCGGAUAAAACAGCCUCAAGGGUCGCAAACGGCCCUAGAGACAUAGGUUCCCCACCCCUGUCCUACAUUGUCAAUAUGACUUGUGCUACUUUAUAGAUAAGUUGUCAAUGCUGUGCAUUGCUAUGUUUUGAUUUAUUUUCUUACAUCCUACAGAUCCUGGCAGGGAGACGGUAGUGUCCUGCAGGAUGGUGAUGGGCAAUCUUACAAGAGACCACAGAAAACUGAUAUAGUCUCCCAGAAGUGAGACUGAGUGCCUGUUGCAGUAUGACGAGGAAGCAGUGACCAGAGACCUUCAGUAGACCCUGCUGGCAUGAUUGGCGGCUGAAGAACAUAAUCAACAGCAAUGUUUACUUUAUAAUAUUGUACAUACCUGUAUAGUCUGCACUAAAAUGCUGUACCUGUACUAUUUUUCCUCUUACUUUCAUAUUUACCACGUAUUUACUAUGAAUUGACAACUUUUACUCAAAUCCAUUUUUGUAUGUGCCCUGACUAAAACUAUCCUUAAACCUAACCUGUCAGAGGUG